GAUGAAGAACGCAGCGAAAUGCGAUAAGUAAUGUGAAUUGCAGAAUUCAGUGAAUCAUCGAAUCUUUGAACGCACAUUGCGCCCCUUGGUAUUCCGAGGGGCAUGCCUGUUCGAGCGCCAUUAUAACCCCUCAAGCUUAGCUUGGUGUUGGGGCCUGCUGUAAUAGAGCAGCCCUUAAAAUCAGUGGCGGUGCCAUUAGGCUCUAAGCGUAGUAAUUCUUCUCGCUAUAGGGUUCUGGUGGAUGCUUGCCAUUAACCUCUAAUUUUCUAUGGUUGACCUCGGAUCAGGUAGGGAUACCCGCUGAACUUAAGCAUAUCAAUAAGCGGAGGA
rnacentral:misc_RNA from 1 species